rnacentral:rRNA from 1 species
UACAGAGGGUGCAAGCGUUAAUCGGAUUUACUGGGCGUAAAGGGUGCGUAGGCGGGUCUUUAAGUCAGGGGUGAAAUCCUGGAGCUCAACUCCAGAACUGCCUUUGAUACUGAGGAUCUUGAGUUCGGGAGAGGUGAGUGGAACUGCGAGUGUAGAGGUGAAAUUCGUAGAUAUUCGCAAGAACACCAGUGGCGAAGGCGGCUCACUGGCCCGAUACUGACGCUGAGGCACGAAAGCGUGGGGAGCAAACAGG